rnacentral:rRNA from 1 species
CACGUAGGGGGCGAGCGUUGUCCGGAUUUAUUGGGCGUAAAGAGCUCGUAGGCGGCUCAGUAAGUCAGGUGUGAAAACUCCAGGCUCAACCUGGAGACGCCACCUGAUACUGCUGUGGCUAGAGUCCGGUAGGGGAGCAUGGAAUUCCUGGUGUAGCGGUGAAAUGCGCAGAUAUCAGGAGGAACACCAGUGGCGGAAGGCGGUGCUCUGGGCCGGAACUGACGCUGGAGGAAGCGAAAGCCGUGGGGAGCAAACAGG